GACGGAGGAUGCAAGUGUUAUCCGGAAUCACUGGGCGUAAAGCGUCUGUAGGUGGUUUAAUAAGUCAACUGUUAAAUCUUGAGGCUCAACCUCAAAAUCGCAGUCGAAACUAUUAGGCUAGAGUAUAGUAGGGGUAAAGGGAAUUUCCAGUGGAGCGGUGAAAUGCAUAGAGAUUGGAAAGAACACCGAUGGCGAAGGCACUUUACUGGGCUAUUACUAACACUCAGAGACGAAAGCUAGGGUAGCAAAUGGG
rnacentral:rRNA from 1 species